UCACGAUUUUCGAAAAAAAACAAGCCAC
rnacentral:sRNA from 1 species